rnacentral:tRNA from 1 species
AAGAUUAACUUUAUAGACUUCUAAUCUAUUAUUAAUGAUAUUUUCAUUUAAUCUUU